rnacentral:piRNA from 1 species
AUUUUAUAUACUCACUUCAUAC